rnacentral:tRNA from 1 species
GCUCUCGUAGUGUAGUGGUUAUCACGUCUGCUUUACACGCAGAAGGUCCCAGGUUCGUUCCCCGGCGAGAGGA